ensembl:snoRNA
AGUGAGGCUAGAGUCACGCCAUGACACCUAUUGUUGUCCUGGUGUGCUAGAGCACUCGCAGAAUAAAACGUCUGUGCUUAUUCAUUGGCUGUAGUCUGAGGUGGCCCAGCUAAUCACCAACUCAGACACAUCA